rnacentral:rRNA from 1 species
AGCGAACGCUGGCGGCAGGCUUAACACAUGCAAGUCGAACGGUCCUUCGGGAUAGUGGCGGACGGGUGAGUAACACGUGGGAACGUACCCUUAGGUUCGGAACAACACAGGGAAACUUGUGCUAAUACCGGAUAAGCCCUUCGGGGGAAAGAUUUAUCGCCUUUGGAGCGGCCCGCGUCUGAUUAGCUUGUUGGUGAGGUAAUGGCUCACCAAGGCUACGAUCAGUAGCUGGUCUGAGAGGAUGGCCAGCCACACUGGGACUGGGACACGGCCCAGACUCCGACGGGAGGCAGCAGUGGGGAAUCUUGCGCAAUGGGCGAAAGCCUGACGCAGCCAUGCCGCGUGGAUGAUGAAGGUCUUAGGAUUGUAAAAUCCUUUCACCGGGGACGAUAAUGACGGUACCCGGAGAAGAAGCCCCGGCUAACUUCGUGCCAGCCGCCGCAGUAA